rnacentral:snoRNA from 1 species
GUGGAAUUGAGGUUCCUUUCCCCAAAUGAUCGAGUAUGAUUAUACUAUAUGUCCUCAUGUGUUUCUUCGGUACAGUAGAUUUCUCGAUCUCAUGCUUUGAUCUAC